rnacentral:pre_miRNA from 1 species
GAGAUACUCCCUUCGUCCGAAAAUACUUGUCAUCAAAAUGGAUAAAAGGGGAUGUAUCUAGAUGUAUUUUAGUUCUAGAUACAUCUCUUUUCAUUUUGAUGACAAGUAUUUAGAACUAAAAU